UUUGUAGUAACUUUAGAUUGUAAUAUGGGCAUAAAAACAGUGUUUAAUUUCUCUAGAAAAAAUAGGGACCAAAUCAUGGUCAUGUAACACACGGCCUUUAGCCUUUGUGACAAGAGCACUUGGGUAAAGGGCAUCGCACUACUUUUUGACGUUUUUUUUUUCAAAAGCUCUUGAACUAUAAGUGUAGUUAGUUUCCUAACUAGUAAAUCUUUCCCCAAGGCAACUCCGUUGUAGUUUCCUACUACAACUAGACUUAACGUAGUUAGGGGCAUAGCCCUUUCCUUGUCAUAACGUCCCCUAAAGGGGAAGAAGGGGAUGACCGAAGGGGAUGACCGAAGGGGAUGACCGAAGGGGAUGACCGAAGGGGAUGACCGAAGGGGAUGACCGAAGGGGAUGACCGAAGGGGAUGACCGAAGGGGAUGACCGAAGGGGAUGACCGAAGGGGAUGACCGAAGGGGAUGACCGAAGGGGAUGACCGAAGGGGAUGACCGAAGGGGAUGACCGAAGGGGAUGACCGAAGGGGAUGACCGAAGGGGAUGACCGAAGGGGAUGACCGAAGGGGAUGACCGAAGGGGAUGACCGAAGGGGAUGACCGAAGGGGAUGACCGAAGGGGUUCUUCCCCUAAAGGGGAACUUUAGUUCAUCCCCUAAAGGGGAACUAAAGGGGAAGAAGAGCGAAGGGGAUUACCGGAGGGGAUGAGCGACUACCUAACUGCCCGGCCUAAGUCCAGAUUUUGCUAGUAGCCCUACGAUGGCAAAGCCCGAUGACGAUGGGCGAAACUCUACUAGGGCUACGUUGGCUUCCCCUUUAGUUCCCCUUUAGUUCUUCCCCUAAAGGGGAACCCCCUUCUUCCCCUAAAGGGGACUUCAUCCCCGAAGAAGAACCCCUUUAGUUCCCCUUUAGGGGAUGAACUAAAGUUCCCCUUUAGUUCUUCCCCUUCGUAUCCCCGAAGGGGAACACCCCUUCGUCUCCCCUUCGUCUCCCCUUCGUCUCCCCUUCGUCUCCCCGAAGGGGAACACACCCCUUUGGUCCCCAAAGAAGACGA
rnacentral:lncRNA from 1 species